AAUGAACGUUGGCGGCGUGGAUUAGGCAUGCAAGUCGUGCGGCAGCAGGCCCCGCAAGGGGUGCUGGCGAGCGGCGAAAGGGAUAGUAAUGUGUGGAUACCUGCCCUGGGGACGGGGAUAGCUGCUGGAAACGGCAAUUAAUACCCGAUGAUGUCUCCGGACCAAAGGUGUAAUUCCGCCCUAGGAGGGGUCCACAUCCUAUUAGCUAGUUGGUGAGGUAACGGCUCACCAAGGCCACGAUGGGUAGCGGGUGUGAGAGCACGACCCGCAUCACUGGGACUGAGACACUGCCCAGACACCUACGGGUGGCUGCAGUCGAGGAUCUUCGGCAAUGAGCGAAAGCUUGACCGAGCGACGCCGCGUGCGGGAUGAAGGCCUUCGGGUUGUAAACCGCUUUCGGAGGGGAGGAAAUCUAGGGGGGAUCACCCUUCUAGUUGACCUAUCCUAGGAAGAAGGACGGGCUAAGUUCGUGCCAGCAGCCGCCGUAACAC
rnacentral:rRNA from 1 species